rnacentral:snRNA from 1 species
UCUGGUAGGAUUACGGGCUUUG